rnacentral:rRNA from 1 species
GGAAGUUGACGGGGCCCGCACAAGCGGUGGAGCAUGUGGUUUAAUUCGACGCAACGCGCAGACCUUACCUGGGCUUGACAUCCCGAUCGCACCUUUUGGAAGCUUAAGGGUCAGUUCGGCUGGAUCGGUGACAGGUGCUGCAUGGCUGUCGUCAGCUCGUGUCGUGAGAUGUUGGGUUAAGUCCCGCAACGAGCGCAACCCUCGUCCUUAGUUGCCAGCAUUAAGUUGGGCACUCUAAGGAGACUGCCGGUGUUAAACCGGAGGAAGGCGGGGAUGACGUCAAGUCCUCAUGGCCCUUAUGUCCAGGGCUACACACGUGCUACAAUGGCCGGUACAAAGGGUAGCAAGACCGCGAGGUGGAGCCAACCCCAAAAAGCCGGUCUCAGUUCGGAUUGGAGUCUGCAACUCGACUCCAUGAAGUUGGAAUCGCUAGUAAUCGUGGAUCAGCAUGCCACGGUGAAUACGUUCCCGGGCCUU